rnacentral:rRNA from 1 species
CCCUUAGAUGUUCUGGGCCGCACGCGCGCUACACUGACGAAUUCAACGAGUUUAUAACCUUUGCUGGGAGGCAUGGGUAAUCUUGUGAACGUUCGUCGUGAUGGGGAUAGAUUAUUGCAAUUGUUAAUCUUCAACGAGGAAUUCCUAGUAAACGCAAGUCAUCAGCUUGCAUUGAUUACGUCCCUGCCCUUUGUACACACCGCCCGUCGCACCUACCGAUUGAAUGGUCCGGUGAAUUCUUCGGACUGCGGCUUUGACUCGAUUUCGGUCGAGGCGUUGCUGCGGGAAGUUGAUUAAACCUUACCAUUUAGAGGAAGGUGAANUCGUANCA